AACGAACGCUGGCGGCAUGCCUAACACAUGCAAGUCGAACGAACCCUUCGGGGUUAGUGGCGCACGGGUGCGUAACGCGUGGGAAUCUGCCCUUUGCUUCGGAAUAACUCAGGGAAACUUGUGCUAAUACCGGAUGAUGUCUUCGGACCAAAGAUUUAUCGGCAAGGGAUGAGCCCGCGUAGGGUUAGGUAGUUGGUGGGGUAAAGGCCUACCAAGCCGACGAUCCUUAGCUGGUCUGAGAGGAUGAUCAGCCACACUGGGACUGAGACACGGCCCAGACUCCUACGGGAGGCAGCAGUGGGGAAUAUUGGACAAUGGGCGCAAGCCUGAUCCAGCAAUGCCGCGUGAGUGAUGAAGGCCCUCGGGUCGUAAAGCUCUUUUACCAGGGAUGAUAAUGACAGUACCUGGAGAAUAAGCUCCGGCUAACUCCGUG
rnacentral:rRNA from 1 species